rnacentral:rRNA from 1 species
CCUACGGGUGGCAGCAGUGGGGAAUAUUGCACAAUGGGGGGAACCCUGAUGCAGCGACGCCGCGUGAGUGAAGAAGUAUUUCGGUAUGUAAAGCCCUAUCAUCAGGGAAGAAGAUGACGGUACCUGACUAAGAAGCCCCGGCUAACUACGUGCCAGCAGCCGCGGUAAUACGUAGGGGGCAAGCGUUAUCCGGAUUUACUGGGUGUAAAGGGGGCGUAGACGGCAGGGCAAGUCUGGAGUGAAAGCCCGGGGCGAAACCCCGGGACUGCUUUUGAAACUGUCAUGCUGGAGUGCUGGAGAGGUAGGGGGAAUUCCUAGUGUAGCGGUGAAAUGCGUAGAUAUUAGGAGGAACACCCGUGGCGAAGGCGGCCUACUGGACAGUAACUGACGUUGAGGCUCGAAAGCGUGGGGAGCAAACAGGAUUAGAUACCCGGGUAGUC